GGGCUCACUUUGGCAGCACAUGUACUAAAACUGGAAAGAUACAGAGAAGGAUUGCAUGGCCCGUAUUCAAGGAUGACAUGCAGAUUCACGAAACAUUCCAUACUUUC
ensembl:snRNA U6 U6 spliceosomal RNA